CCUCCGGGCCCCUCUGGGAAGCCCCCUUCUGGAAGCUUCUGUGUCCCAGCCCAGGCCGGAUGCACUGUAGGGGCAGGGAGAAGGGACCGGCAUCCCCACAUGCCCACCCGGAAUCCUGCAGCCUCUCGUGCUGGGACACGGAUCUAGGCGGCUGGCCAUGACGUCUGUGCAGCCACGGCGUCCCGAAGGCUCGGGGAUGGAGGACACGUGAGGUGCUGUGACGCAGGAGCUGGACAGUGGUGACCUACGGAUGGUUGCAAUGGCUGGAGCUGGGCCGGGCGGAGCCAGAGAGGCCAGGAGCUGUGUCCAAGUCUCCCACGUGGGUGCAGGGGCCCAAGCUCUUGGGCCAUCUUCUGCUGCUUUCCCAGGCAGAGCAGGGAGCUGGAUCAGAAGUGGAGCAGCCGAGACACAAACUGCCACCCACAUGGGAUGCCGGGGUCACAGGUGCAGCUGUAUGCACUAAGCCACAAGGCAGGGCCCUAAGUCCUAGAGACGAGACGAGACUGGAAGCACGAAGAGUCCACGAGGGAGAUGCCUGCUGCAGGACACAGCACGGAGCCGACAGCUCAGUCAGACACCGAGAGCCGAAGCCGGAGAACUCGGAAGCAGCUGAGGCAAAAUGAUGCCUGGCCUGUGCGGGAGCCCGGGAGACGCCCCCUGCCCGUGCGGGAGCCCGGGAGACGCCCCCUGCCUGUGAGCAAGUCCAGGAGACGCCCCCUGCCCUGUGCGGGAGCCCGGGAGACACCCCCUGCCCGUGCGGGAGCCCGGGAGACGCCCCCUGCCUGUGAGGGAGCCCGGGAGACGCCCCCUGCCCGUGAGCGAGUCCAGGAGACUCCCCCUGCCCGUGCGGGAGCCCAGGAGACGCCCCCAGCCCGUGAGGGAGCCCGGGAGACGCCCCCUGCCCGUGAGGGAGCCCGGGAGACGCCCCCUGCCCGUGCGGGAGCCCGGGAGACACCCCCUGCCCGUGUGGGAGCCCGGGAGACGCCCCCUGCCCGUGCGGGAGCCCGGGAGACACCCCCUGCCCGUGAGGGAGCCCGGGAGACGCCCCCUGCCCGUGAGGGAGCCCGGGAGACGCCCCCUGCCCGUGCGGGAGCCCGGGAGACGCCCCCUGCCUGUGUGGGAGCCUGGGAGACGCCCCCUGCCCGUGCCGGAGCCCGGGAGACACCCCCUGCCCGUGAGGGAGCCCGGGAGACGCCCCCUGCCCGUGAGGGAGCCCGGGAGACACCCCCUGCCCGUGAGGGAGCCCGGGAGACGCCCCCUGCCCGUGAGGGAGCCCGGGAGACGCCCCCUGCCCGUGCGGGAGCCCGGGAGAUGCCCCCUGCCCGUGAGGGAGCCCGGGAGACGCCCCCUGCCCGUGCCGGAGCCCGGGAGAUGCCCCCUGCCCGUGAGGGAGCCCGGGAGACGCCCCCUGGGCUGUGAGACGAUGGCUCACAGGUGACAGAACCCGGCAGGACGAGGGCUGACUUCUUCACAGGGCAGGGGAGCCCAGAGAAGGUGGGUGGCCGACUCCCCGCCCCAGGAAGGCACCAAGCAGGGACCCUACAUGCAGGAAAAUCCUGUUUCGCCUUGGAACUGAAGGUGGAAUAGACAGUCCAAGGAAACAGAACUCGCUGCCGCUAGCCUAGCUCAGCAGACACUGAGGAAAGCUCACAGGCCGAGGGCGAGAAGAGCAGGUGACGAUCUUCAUCUGUUCUCUGGCACAGCCGCGCAGUGCCCUGGCUCCCGCCCGUGGGAGUGCGUGCUCAACACACGCCAGCUGGCAGCUUGUCAGCAGUACAGCCGCCGUCGGUACUGAUGGAGGCGCGAGACUGAUUUUUUUUAUAUUAUUUUAUUUAUUUGAAAGGCAGGGUUAUUUGAGAGAGAGAGAGAGAGAGAGAGAGAGAAAGAGAGAGAGAGAGGCCUUCCAUCUGCUGGUUCACUCCCCAAAUGGCUGCAACAGCUGGAGCUGAGCCAUGCCGAAGCCAGGAGCCAGGACCUUCAUCCGGGUCUCCCAUGUGGGGGCAGGAGCCCAGGCACUUGGGCCAUCUUUCGCUGACUUUCCCAGGUGCAUCAGCAGGGAGCUGGAUCAGAACCCAGGUGGGAUGCUGGCAUUACAGGCAGUGGCUUAGUCUAUGAUGCCACAAUAGCCGGCAAGACUGGGGCUAAGGCAGCAAGGUUGCGAAGGAAGCUCCAAGUGCAGCUUUCUGCUAUACAAGCUCUGUGCCUGGAGACCUGGGGCAGCCACCCACGCUGCUACCUGCCCUGGGCACACGGUGCCCCUAGCUCCAGAAGGAAGCCCAGUCGUCCUUCUUGGAAUCCGCACUGGCCUGUACCGGGAAUGUGGGCUCCAGGCUUGACUGGGACAGCCCAGCAGGCACAGGCUGCCCAAGAUGGCCGUGUGGCCCCUUGCACAAGAAGUGUUUAUCUAAGACCUCUGAGAUCUGUGCAUCCAGACUCCACUGGCUCCCAGCGUGGGGCGGAGGACGGAGCUGAGCAGGUGCAGCACCUACCCUUAGAGCAGGAGUCUCCCUGGGAGAAGCAGGCCCUCCGUGCCCCAGACCCUUCCCAGGGCAGGGGCAACGGGGAGGGGCUGACUUCUCGUAGAAGUUGAAAGCAUGAGAGGCCAGCCAUCGUGAACAAGCUAACUGCUCGAUGGAGGAACAGGCAGGCCAGCUGGGGGACAGUCAGGGACAGACAACUAGAAAAGGAGCCUGCUGGCCUCCCAGAACCCCUGAAAGCCCAGGUCUGUACCAGCUACUCGGGGUGGCCAGCAGGGGCACACUCCUGAUGUGUGUCUUCCCAUUGCUGCCCUCACCUGGGGGCUUCUAACUGCAGACACAACACGGACUCAGCAAAACAGGCCCCCGGUGAGACAGUCUCGCGGGCUAGGAUGGAGGUUUGCAGCAGGAAUGAUCCCUUCCGGAGGUUCCAGGGGAGACUUUGUCUCCUGCCUCUUGCGUCUUCCCAGCCACACUCCGCGGUGGCACUGCCUCCUCUUCUGCCAACAAAUCCCCAUUUCCCCUUCCUGAGGACGCUGAGGGCCCCACUUCCCCUUCCUGAGGACGCUGAGGGCCCAGUGCCUGGAGAGCAGGGCCACUCCCGCCUCGAGAUCUGGGGCUUAGGAGCUGGCAUUGCGGCGCAGUGUGUUGAGACACCACUUGGAGCCCUGGCUGCUCGGCUUCCAAUCCAGCUCCUCGAUAACGUGCCUGGGAAAGCAGCAGAAGAUGGCCCAGAUACCCGGUCCCUUGCACCCACCUGGCAGAGCUAGAUGGAGUUCCAGGCUCCUGGGUUCAGCCUGACCCAGCCCCAGCCAUCGCGGCUACCUGGGGAGUGAACCAGUAGGUAGAGGAUAUUUCUCUUUCUCUCUCUCUCUCUCUCUCAAAUAAACUUUUUUAUAAAAUUCAUGACUUAGUCACAUCUGCAAAACAAGCUCAACUUCACAGGCUUCAGUGAUUUCCCCUGGGGCUCUUUGGCAGUCACCGUGACGCUGUCACAGACAUCCCACCCCCAUGAGGGAUGGGUCCUCACUGGCUCCGGAAGCAUGAGCACAACCUUUGGCCAAUCUGUGGUUGAUGAUAAGCCACGCUGGCUCAGUGCCAUCUCUAGGAAGCCAGACUUUUUAAAAAAUAUUUAUUUGAAAGGUAGAGAGAGAGAAGGAAAGACAGAUAGACAGAGAAAGGUGAGAUCUUCCAUCCGCUGGUUCACCCCCCAGAUGCUGCAACAGCCAGGACUGCACCAGACCAAAGCCAGGAGCCAGGAGCUUCUUCCAGGUCUCCCAGGUGGGGAGUCAGAUAUGAGCUUAUAUGUGUGUGACAAAGGCCUACGUCCAGCAUCUGCAUCUGCAUCUCAAAGUCAUCCCGAUAAUGUUUCAGGGGCAGUCUGGUAUUCGCAUCCUGCCCUGCCCCUCCUACCUGAUGACCUGCCAGGUGGGGGUCCCCGCCCCUUCUGUCUGACAAUCUUCCACAGUCUCCCAGAUGCAGCCCAGUAUCUGCACUUCAAACACCCUGCUCUGAUCCCCAUUCUCCAGGGCUUCAGGGGAAAACUCAGAUAGGAGCUUCUUAAAAUUUACAUCCAUAAAAUCCUUUGUUUCGGGAGGAGAUGUGUGAAGACAGAGACCCAUCUCCUUAAAAACCCCCGGCCUCAACCGGACUGCGCACUCAGCCCUCGGCCUCUCUGCUGAGCCGCCCGCCUGCCUGCCCAGGUGUACUCUCUCCACUCAACCAUGUAACCUCGCCCCCCCCCCCGCCCCCGCCCCGCAGUCUGAGAGACUGCACUCUCUCAGGUCCUGUCUGGAGAGGUGCCCAUCCCUGCCCUAAUAAACCUUGCUA